GCGAUCCCAGGUCAGGCGGGGCUACCCGCUGAGUUUAAGCAUAUCAAUAAGCGGAGGAAAAGAAACUAACGAGGAUUCCCUUAGUAGCGGCGAGCGAACCGGGAAGAGCCCAGCGUGAAAAUCGUCCGUCGUCGGCGGCCGAAUUGUAGUCUGGAGAAGCGUCCUCAGUGACGGACCGGACCCAAGUUCACUGGAAGGUGGCGCCGGAGAGGGUGAGAGCCCCGUCGUGUCCGGACCCUGUCG
rnacentral:rRNA from 1 species